rnacentral:tRNA from 1 species
AUUAAGGUGGCAGAGCAGGUAAUUGCAUAAAACUUAAGCCUUUACUAUCAGAGGUUCAACCCCUCUCCUUAAUA